rnacentral:rRNA from 1 species
GGUCGAGCGAGCUGAAUUCAAAGAUCCCUUCGGGGUGAUUUGUUGGACGCUAGCGGCGGAUGGGUGAGUAACACGUGGGCAAUCUGCCCUAAAGACUGGGAUACCACUUGGAAACAGGUGCUAAUACCGGAUAACAACAUGAAUCGCAUGAUUCAAGUUUGAAAGGCGGCGCAAGCUGUCACUUUAGGAUGAGCCCGCGGCGCAUUAGCUAGUUGGUGGGGUAAAGGCCUACCAAGGCAAUGAUGCGUAGCCGAGUUGAGAGACUGAUCGGCCACAUUGGGACUGAGACACGGCCCAAACUCCUACGGGAGGCAGCAGUAGGGAAUCUUCCACAAUGGACGCAAGUCUGAUGGAGCAACGCCGCGUGAGUGAAGAAGGUCUUCGGAUCGUAAAGCUCUGUUGUUGGUGAAGAAGGAUAGAGGCAGUAACUGGUCUUUAUUUGACGGUAAUCAACCAGAAAGUCACGGCUAACUACGUGCCAGCAGCCGCGGUAAUACGUAGGUGGCAAGCGUUGUCCGGAUUUAUUGGGCGUAAAGCGAGCGCAGGCGGAAUGAUAAGUCUGAUGUGAAAGCCCACGGCUCAACCGUGGAACUGCAUCGGAAACUGUCAUUCUUGAGUGCAGAAGAGGAGAGUGGAACUCCAUGUGUAGCGGUGGAAUGCGUAGAUAUAUGGAAGAACACCAGUGGCGAAGGCGGCUCUCUGGUCUGCAACUGACGCUGAGGCUCGAAAGCAUGGGUAGCGAACAGGAUUAGAUACCCUGGUAGUCCAUGCCGUAAACGAUGAGCGCUAGGUG